CGAUGAUGCUGGUGCUUGCACUGGUGGAUUAGUGGCGAACGGGUGAGUAACACGUGAGUAACCUGCCCCUGACUUCGGGAUAAGCCCGGGAAACUGGGUCUAAUACCGGAUAUGACUUCCUGCUGCAUGGCAGGGGGUGGAAAGAUUUAUCGGUUGGGGAUGGACUCGCGGCCUAUCAGCUUGUUGGUGAGGUAAUGGCUCACCAAGGCGACGACGGGUAGCCGGCCUGAGAGGGUGACCGGCCACACUGGGACUGAGACACGGCCCAGACUCCUACGGGAGGCAGCAGUGGGGAAUAUUGCACAAUGGGCGAAAGCCUGAUGCAGCGACGCCGCGUGAGGGAUGACGGCCUUCGGGUUGUAAACCUCUUUCAGUAGGGAAGAAGCCCCUUUUUGGGGUGACGGUACUUGCAGAAGAAGCGCCGGCUAACUACGUGCCAGCAGCCGCGGUAAUACGUAGGGCGCAAGCGUUAUCCGGAAUUAUUGGGCGUAAAGAGCUCGUAGGCGGUUUGUCGCGUCUGCCGUGAAAGUCCGAGGCUCAACCUCGGAUCUGCGGUGGGUACGGGCAGACUAGAGUGAUGUAGGGGAGACUGGAAUUCCUGGUGUAGCGGUGAAAUGCGCAGAUAUCAGGAGGAACACCGAUGGCGAAGGCAGGUCUCUGGGCAUU
rnacentral:rRNA from 1 species